GCAAUUUGGGAGAAUGAAUAGUUUCGGCUAAUUAUACUUGGCUGUAUUAAAAAUUUAUAUAAGAUUUUUAAUUUUGUAUAAAUUUUUAUUCAUUUUAAUCUUAACUAAAAUUAAUGAUUAAUUAAUUUACUAUUUCUAUAUGAAUAAGAGGGUAAUUAUCCUCAUGGACAAGUAUAAGAUCGAUUUUAUCGAAUAAAGUUCUAGAUAGAAAAGUGAUUAUGACAAUUUUCUAUCUACAUGUCUUGACCAAUAUACGUGCCAGCAGUCGCGGUAAUACGUAGAAGACUAGUGUUAUUCAUCUUUAAUAGGUUUAAAGGGUACCUAGACGGUAUAAUUAGUCUAUAAUAAGAUACGAUUAUACUAGAGUUAUAUGUAAGAAGGUGAGUAUUCAAGGAGUAGAGUUAAUAUUCAAUUAUACCUUGGAGACUGGUAACGGCGAAAGCAACCUUUUAUCUAAUAACUGACGUUGAGGAACGAAGGCUUGGGUAACGAAUAGGAUUAGAUACCCUAGUAGUCCUAGCAGAUAAUUAUGAAUGCCAUAGAUUAGAUUUAUUUAGUCUAUAAAUGAAAGUGUAAGCAUUUCACCUCAAGAGUAAUGUGGCAACACAGGAACUGAAAUCAUUAGGCCGUAUCUGAAACCAGUAGUGAAGUAUGUUAUUUAAUUCGUAGGUACGCGAAAAACCUUACCACAACUUGAAUAUUUUUUUUGUUUACAUAAUAUUAGUAUUAUAUAAACAUAUUAUUACAAGCGUUGCACGGCUGUCUUAAGUUAAUGUCGUGAGAUAUUGGUUAAUUCCAUUAAAUUAACGGAAACCCUUGCUUUAUUUGUUUUUUAAGAAAUAAAGCAGCACACCAUCAUAGCGGAUAUGUUAAUAGGGACCAAGAUAAGUCAUCAUGGGCCUAAAUGUGUGGUA
rnacentral:rRNA from 1 species